rnacentral:lncRNA from 1 species
CGUUGAAGAUGGCACAACUAGUCUUAUGCCUCUCAAUAUCGUCGGGUAUGUCAAAAGACUCGUUCAACAUUUGCAACAUAUUCUGUGACUAAGCAUUCUCGAAACGACGGCCAAACUCAUCAUUCAUUGCUGCCAGUAUAAUAAAUGAAUCAUAGUUCGAUCAUUGAGCCACUUCUGAUAAGUAUCUCUGAUUGUGCUA